rnacentral:rRNA from 1 species
AGAAUCAACGCUGGCGGCGUGCCUAACACAUGCAAGUCGAACGAGAAAGUGGAGCAAUCCAUGAGUAAAGUGGCGACCGGGUGAGUAACACGUGACUAACCUACCUUCGAGUGGGGGAUAACCUCGGGAAACCGGGGCUAAUACCGCAUAAUAUCCACGGAUCAAAGGAGCAAUUCGCUUGAAGAGGGGGUCGCGGCUGAUUAGUUAGUUGGCGGGGUAAUGGCCCACCAAGACAAUGAUCGGUAGCCGGCCUGAGAGGGCGCACGGCCACACUGGAACUGAAACACGGUCCAGACUCCUACGGGAGGCAGCAGUGGGGAAUUUUGCGCAAUGGGGGAAACCCUGACGCAGCAACGCCGCGUGGAGGAUGAAGUCCCUUGGGACGUAAACUCCUUUCGACUGGGAAGAUAAUGACGGUACCAGUGGAAGAAGCCCCGGCUAACUUCGCGCCAGCAGCCGC